UACAGAGGUCCCAAGCGUUGUUCGGAUUCAUUGGGCGUAAAGGGUGCGUAGGUGGCGCGCUAAGUCAGGUGUGAAAUUUCGGAGCUUAACUCCGAAACUGCAUUUGAUACUGGCGUGCUUGAGGACUGGAGAGGAGACUGGAAUUCAUGGUGUAGCAGUGAAAUGCGUAGAGAUCAUGAGGAAGACCAGUGGCGAGGGCGGGUCUCUGGACAGUUCCUGACACUGAGGCACGAAGGCCAGGGGAGCAAACGGG
rnacentral:rRNA from 1 species